AGACCCGAAACCCGGUGAUCUAGCCAUGGGCAGGUUGAAGGUUGGGUAACACUAACUGGAGGACCGAACCGACUAAUGUUGAAAAAUUAGCGGAUGACCUGUGGCUGGGGGUGAAAGGCCAAUCAAACCGGGAGAUAGCUGGUUCUCCCCGAAAGCUAUUUAGGUAGCGCCUCGUGAAUUCAUCUCCGGGGGUAGAGCACUGUUUCGGCCAGGGGGCCAUCCCGGCUUACCAAUCCGAUGCAAACUGCGAAUACCGGAGAAUGUUAUCACGGGAGACACACGGCGGGUGCUAACGUCCGUCGUGAAGAGGGAAACAACCCAGACCGCCAGCUAAGGUCCCAAAGUCAUGGUUAAGUGGGAAACGAUGUGGGAAGGCCCAGACAGCCAGGAUGUUGGCUUAGAAGCAGCCAUCAUUUAAAGAAAGCGUAAUAGCUCACUGGUCGAGUCGGCCUGCGCGGAAGAUGUAACGGGGCUAAACCAUGCACCGAAGCUGCGGCAGCGACACUGAUGUGUUGUUGGGUAGGGGAGCGUUCUGUAAGCCGUUGAAGGUGU
rnacentral:rRNA from 1 species